GCCAGCGGCGCCGGCGGCAUCCUUGGCCCUCUGGUGCCACAGUCAGAAGACCCCUUUUUCACGGCUCCUUUUCCUCGCCCUCGGGCGGGAAGCUGGANGCUCCGAGCUCGGCCGGCCGGCCCUCCAGCUGCUGGAGACCCCCGACUCCCAGGAGCUUCAGCCGGCCUGGGCACUAGCAAAGGGUGCUGCUGCGGUUUGGGUUCAGGCGCCGCGAGAGGCCGGCAUCGUCCUUGCUGCUGGCAGACGACGUGCCGCCUCACUCUGCACGUGGGCAGAGGCACGCUCUCCUCCUCCUCCUCCUCCUCGCCACGGCCGCUGACGCGCGAGGCUGCUGGCUCCUCCCCCGUCCGCCCCUCGGAGUCGGCGGCGCGCCCUGAUCCGGGACCGGUCCGGGAGCAGGAGGAGCGGCGGGUGGGCGGCUCGGCUCGGCUAGCGCAGGCAGGGCGCGAAGAGGGCAGCCCGGCUCCGGCGGCCGCAGCGAGCGAGUCAGUGCCGAUCGUUCGCCUGCAGCUGCGGGCUCCAUCGGCGCUCAGCGCGCCGCCGCCGCCGCCGCCUCCUGCGCUUCUCGCCGCUCGCUCCUGCAGCCGCCGCGCCGCUGGGCCGCGAUGCGCCCCCGCCGCUGGGCGAUCCCGGCGGCGGCGCUCUGGCUGGCGCUGCUGCAGCUGGUGCGCACCUCCGCCGCCGCCGCCGCGCCGCCGCCCCCCAGCUCGGGGGUCUCCCUCGCCGCCGCCGGCUCGUCGCCGGCCAACAACAGCCGCGGCAGCGCCGCCGCCGUCCAGCCGCCGCCGCCGCCGCCAUCGCCGCCGCGGAACGGCACCGGGAGCGGCGGCAGCACCCAACGGAGCCCGGUGGCCGCCUUGCUGCGGGACCUGCCCGCCGUCAAGGCCGCCGUCAUCGGAGCGUGCGCCGCCAGCGUCGGCCUCAUCGCCUGCCUGCUGCUCCGCGUGCUCAGAUCUGGAAGGAAGAUUAAAAAACCCCGCAAAUAUGAUAUCAUCACAACUCCAGCAGAACGGGUAG
rnacentral:lncRNA from 1 species